rnacentral:lncRNA from 1 species
GAUUGUUUUAUUUUUUAUUAGGGUUACGGGAAUUAGGGGUACAAUUUUCCCUUUAGAUUGUUUUUUUUUUAUUCUUUCCCCAUUUAAACAAACUGAUUUCCAUUUUUUUUAAAUACAAUUAAUCAUUUAUAAUGGGAUUAGUUUAAGGUUAAUUUUGGUAUUAUGAAGAAAAUUAUACUAUAGGGACAACUUUAGAUUGAAUUUAUACCAUAGGGACAACCAUUCUGUUUUUUUAUUCUGUUUUGGCAAUUUUCCCAAUAAAAUUUCUAUAAUUAAGAAGUUGAACCAGUAGUACCAAUAUUACAUGUCUAGUAUAUGAAUAUAUUUUUAAUUAUAUGAGUUGUACUAGUAGUAAACGUUUAAUAUAUAAUGAAAAGUUAUUAAAAAAUAACUAGUAAAUAAUAUUAAGUCAAAUAUAUUGCAAGAAAAUAUAUUAAUGAAAAUAAUACAGAAAAUUAUUUUUACUUUUAAAAAAAGAUAUCAAAUAUAUUCAUAGCAUAAUUUUAAUCUAUAAUUACAUAUUUAAAUGGGAUGAUAUAUUUAAGUUACAACAUGAUGCAUAUUUAAAAUAAUACUAAAUAAAAUAACAAGUAGUUGUACCAGUUUUCUAGUUGUACCGACUGUAAAUAGUUGUACUAGUUUUUGAGUUGUACCAGUUUGUGCAUAGUUGUAUUUUGGCAGUGAAAUCAUAAAAUAUUAGUUGUACCACAUAAUAAAUACAUUUUAUCUCAGUUGUACCACUUAUUUAUGUUUACAUGUCUUUGCCCGGUUACAAUGAAAUCAUCAAUUUUGUAAAACUACAUUUCAUGUAUGUUUUCCAAAACUUAUGUGGACAAACAAGUUAACAAACAUUAAAAGUAUAAGGUAGAUCAUGUAAACUUAUGGAAUUGUGUAAUAAUUUUUAUAUUUUUUUCUAAAACUUCAAUUUAAAUUAAGAGAAACUUUAUGAGUACAUACCAACUGGGAUAUAUGAUUGUUUUUCUCAUAUGAAAUACCAAAUUGGUUUUGUUAAUUUCUGAAACGUCGAAGUUGUACUAGUUAUACCAGUAAUACUAGUCUAAUAUAUAAUAAAAAUUAUAUAUAUAUAUAUAUAUAUUGGUUAUAUGUCUAGUUAUAAGGGUUGUACCAAUAUUUUCACAUCAUAGCUUUGUAAAAUAUGUUUGAUGUUUGAUUAUCAUAAAAAUAUGGCUAAUAUAGUUAAUAACCUUAAAAGUAUAAAUAUAUAAUAUAAAAUUAAGUGUGUAAUACAAUAAUAUAACAAAAAAUUGAAAAAUCUUAAACGAAUUAGAAGACAUUUUUGUCAUCAUAUACCAAUUAGAAUAUUUAUUUGUUAAUUUCAUGUGUAAAUUAUAAUAUUUUUAUACUAAUUAUAUAAUUUUUUAAAAUGUUUAGUUGUACGAGUUAUACUAGUUUUACCAACUCGAAUGAGAGAAUGAGAUAAGGAAGAUUGUGUGGAUGUGAGUGGCUGAGAUUAAAAAAAGAGAAGGAGGGAGAAUGAGACAUGUGUUAAAUUGUAUGGCCAAGAUUAAAACGUAGAUGUUAUGAUCCAAUGGCCCAUAUUACUCUUUCAUUAAUGGCAAAAUCGUCAUUUCCCUUUAAUUGGUCCAUGUUAGAUUUUUUUUGGAUGUUGUAGACUUUUUUUUGACCAUUUGGUCCAUAAUAGAUUUUUGCAAAUCCUAAAAUGGACCACAAGGGGUCAAAAAAAUCUAAAAUGACCCACUCAUAAUUUCUAUUUAUUUUCAGUUAAAAUUUAAAUAUUAAACAAAAGUAAAUAACUGAAAAACCAGAAGACAUUAACUUAUUUACAACCUGUGCCACUAUUAUCCUACCCAAAAUCCGACCCAUUUUCUGACCCAGAAUCCGACCCAUUUGUAACCCUACAUCCCCAAAUCAAAACACAAUCUCCUUCACCUCCCACAAUCCAAUUUUGUUGUUCUUGUUUUUAACCCAGAUUUAUAUUAUUGUUUUCUUGUUCUUAUCCCAAAUCGAUCGACCUAUUAUCAUCCUUAAUCGAUUUACUCUUAUCUGAAUCGAAUUUCAUCUUCGUUGUAAAAAAUUCGCGUCAAAGAAGAACACAGAGUAUUAAUAGUAUAACUAGUACAACUCAAACUAGUACAACUAGUACAACUCAAACCAGUACAUCUAGUAUAACUAGAGUGAGUAUAACCACUAUGACUAGUACAACUAGAACGCAUAUAACUAGUAUAACUUUGCAAUUAGUAUAGUGAUAUUUGGUUUUUGUUUUCAGCUUAUUAAUAAUGUUAUAGAAGAUGAUGAUGCAGAACCAAUGAAAAAUUGGUACAAUCCUCCCACCUAUAUGUAUUAAAAUAUUUUAAUAGUUUGUUUUCUAUAAUAUUUAAUUUUGAUAAUGAAUUUGUUUUACUAGUUGUACUAUUUAGGAAAAAAUCAUCUUCAUUCUUUUUGCUCUCGAAGCCGAAGAAGGUAGUUGCAAAGCCAGAAAAAUUAUAUUAGGUUAAGAUGUGUUUUGUAAUAGCCUAUAAUACAGCUAGAAGGAGUAUAACAUGUAUAUUAGUAAAACUGAAACGCGUAUAACCAGUACAACUCUCCAACUAAUAUGGUUAUAUUUUGUUUUAAAAGAGUAUAAUGCAAAGAUGAUGUAGAAGAUUUAAAAGAGUAUAAUGCAAAGAUGAUGUAGAAGCCCUCACGGGUUUGAAAAUGAUGGAUAGGCUUCAUGUUUGGUGUUUGUACUAUGACAAUAGUGUGGGAACCGAAAUUUCCACCGGUGGCGUCUGCACUCGCCGUUGAUUUUACCGGAGAAGACGCAAUCGCCUUCUUCGUCGCUGUGAUAGAGAGAGGCGGAGAGAUUGUUUUAUUUUUUAUUAGGGUUACGGGAAUUAGGGGUACAAUUUUCCCUUUAGAUUGUUUUUUUUUUAUUCUUUCCCCAUUUAAACAAACUGAUUUCCAUUUUUUUUAAAUACAAUUAAUCAUUUAUAAUGGGAUUAGUUUAAGGUUAAUUUUGGUAUUAUGAAGAAAAUUAUACUAUAGGGACAACUUUAGAUUGAAUUUAUACCAUAGGGACAACCAUUCUGUUUUUUUAUUCUGUUUUGGCAAUUUUCCCAAUAAAAUUUCUAUAAUUAAGAAGUUGAACCAGUA